rnacentral:rRNA from 1 species
AUACGUAGGGUGCAAGCGUUGUUCGGAAUCACUGGGCGUAAAGGGCGUGUAGGCGGGACGGUCAGCUAGAGGUGAAAGCCCGGGGCUCAACCCCGGCGGGUCUUUUAGAACUGCCGUUCUUGAGAAGGUCAGAGGUUAGCGGAAUUCCUGGUGUAGCGGUGAAAUGCGUAGAUAUCAGGAGGAACACCGGUGGCGAAAGCGGCUAACUGGGGCCAUUCUGACGCUGAGGCGCGAAAGCGUGGGGAGCAAACAGGAUUAGAUACCCUUGUAGUCC